GCCUACGGGGGGCAGCAGUAGGGAAUUUUCGUCAAUGGGCGCAAGCCUGAACGAGCAAUGCCGCGUGAGUGAGGAAGGUCUUCGGAUCGUAAAGCUCUGUUGCGGGGGAAAAAGGAAGCAGAAAGGAAAUGGUCUGCUUUUGAUGGUACCCCGCCAGAAAGUCACGGCUAACUACGUGCCAGCAGCCGCGGUAAUACGUAGGUGGCGAGCGUUAUCCGGAAUUACUGGGUGUAACGGGAGCGCAGGCGGGAAGC
rnacentral:rRNA from 1 species